UACGUAGGGGGGCAAGCGUUGUCCGGAAUCAUUGGGCGUAAAGAGCGUGUAGGCGGCCCGAUAAUCCGCUGUGAAAGUCCAGGGCUCAACCCUGGGAAUGCCGGUGGAUACUGUCGGGCUCGAGUUCCGGAAGAGGCGAGUGGAAUUCCUGGUGUAGCGGUGAAAUGCGCAGAUAUCAGGAGGAACACCGGUAGUCGGAAGGCAGGGUCUCUGGGCCAUAACUGACGCUGAGAAGCGAAAGCAUGGGGAGCGAACAGG
rnacentral:rRNA from 1 species